GUCGUUUUAUACAGUGUGGGAUCGGUGAGUGAGUGCAAAUGUUAUAAUUGAUGAGUGAGUAAAAGACACGAUGUUUAAUUAUCACGAACAAUGUUUAUUAAGAAGUAUGAAGAGAAGUGAAGUUAGUAGAACUGUAGAGUUUGAAGUGUGUGGAAUAACUGUCUUUCCUAAACCCUUGUCACCCACCAGCAACCCUUCAGGUUGAUGGGUGGUGACAAGAAAUUUGGAAGUAGGAAGAAAGUAAUAGAUUGGAUUGGUAGAAGAAAGUGUAUGACAUUGAAGAGAGGGAAAGCUGACCAUUGGAUUCUGGGAAUCCGAGUCGUGCCAAACCGUCCGACUCGGGGAUUAGGUUUUUCAAGGUAAUAAAAGAUAUUAGGAAAUUUGGGAAUUUUGGAUGAAGAAUUACGGUAUACAAUAAAGAUGAAGAAAGUUAUAAAGUUUUGAAAUACAGAAAUAAGCUUUGGGUAAAGAUCCCCACAGUACCCCCCUACCAGUGAUAAAGUUACCGGAAAGGCCGGAAGAAGCUCUUCGGAGUUGGUAUUGCAUGCAGCAGAGGUGAUGCGCGUCGCAUUGAGAUGAAAUCUUGAGAACCACGCCUGGAAACAGUCGGUGAGUCGUGCCUGCUUCCCAGCUCUCGUCGUUCGAGAGUUGUUGGCGAGAGGUUGCAGCAGUGGUGUGCGCGUCGCAUUGAGAUGAAAUCUUGAGAACCACGCCUGGAAACAGUCGGUGAGUCGUGCCUGUCUCCCAGAUCUCGUCGUUCGAGACUUGUUGGCGAGGGGUUGCAACAGUGAUGUGCGCGUCGCACUGAGAUGAAAUCUUGGGAACCCAGUCCGGAAACAGUCGGUGAGUCGUACCUGUCUCCCAGCUCUCGUCGUUCGAGAGUUGUUGGUAGAGCAUGCAGCAGAGCUGAUGUGCGCGUUGCACUGAGAUGAAAUCCUGCGAACCCAGCGUGGAAACAGUCGGUGAGUCGUACCUGCCUCCUAAGUCUUGUCGUUUGAGAGAGAGUUGCUUAAAGAGACUUGCGGAUUCUCCGGGAUUGGUUGUAGUUGCUGCUGCUGGAUCUCUGGUUGAACUGGGAUCUCUGUCGGGUUGGUCGAAGUUGUGAGCACCAUGCUUUUUAGAGUACAGUUCUGGAAAACGUCUCUAGGACAUACCACUUGUGGCAUGUUGUUACACUUUAACGGCAGGAAGGAUGUUGUACGGUCGAAGGACCUGGUGAUGUGAUGCGAUGCAAUACCUGGCUGUGAUGAUGGUACUCCAGAGUGUGGUUGAGAAGGCGGUGGGUUAUUAGAGUUAGACCUACCCUUGUGGGUGAGAAUGAAGUGGUAUAGAAUGCGGAGGAAAAGUAUGUGACGGGAGUUUAAGAUGCGGCGGCAUGUGCGGUGGUGGACCACCAUGUGGACACAUGCCUGGCAGUGGAAAACAACUGCAUACUAGGCAUACCAGGAUGAGGCGGCACCUGGUGCGGCGAUGUUGGACGUCCUGGGUGAUAACUCGGAACGUGCGGUUGAUGCAUCGUAGGUGCAGAAGUAUGGAAUGAUGCCUUCUGCGGUGGAAGUUGUAGCUGAAGAGGCAUCGAAGAUUGAGUCCUUGGUAGCGGUUGAUGUUGCGUUCGUCGUAGACAUUGUUGUGUUGCACUCAGAUAUUGACUCACCAGAUACCCACAAAAUAAAAACUAACGUGUGUUUAAUGUUCGCAAAUAUCACGUCGGGGUCACCAAUUUGUGGGAUCGGUGAGUGAGUGCAAAUGUUAUAAUUGAUGAGUGAGUAAAAGACACGAUGUUUAAUUAUCACGAACAAUGUUUAUUAAGAAGUAUGAAGAGAAGUGAAGUUAGUAGAACUGUAGAGUUUGAAGUGUGUGGAAUAACUGUCUUUCCUAAACCCUUGUCACCCACCAGCAACCCUUCAGGUUGAUGGGUGGUGACAAGAAAUUUGGAAGUAGGAAGAAAGUAAUAGAUUGGAUUGGUAGAAGAAAGUGUAUGACAUUGAAGAGAGGGAAAGCUGACCAUUGGAUUCUGGGAAUCCGAGUCGUGCCAAACCGUCCGACUCGGGGAUUAGGUUUUUCAAGGUAAUAAAAGAUAUUAGGAAAUUUGGGAAUUUUGGAUGAAGAAUUACGGUAUACAAUAAAGAUGAAGAAAGUUAUAAAGUUUUGAAAUACAGAAAUAA